CCUACGGGAGGCAGCAGUGGGGGAUAUUGCACAAUGGGGGGAACCCUGAUGCAGCAACGCCGCGUGGGUGAAGAAGUGCUUCGGUGUGUAAAGCCCUGUCAGCAGGGAAGAAAAUGACGGUACCUGACCAAGAAGCCCCGGCUAACUACGUGCCAGCAGCCGCGGUAAUACGUAGGGGGCAAGCGUUAUCCGGAUUUACUGGGGGGAAAGCGAGCGUAGGCGGUAUGGCAAGUCAGGAGUGAAAGCCCUGGGCUCAACGGGGGAACUGCCUUGGAAACUGGCUAGCUGGAGUGUAGGAGAGGUGAGGGGAAUUCCUGGUGUAGCAGUGAAAUGCGUAGAUAUUAGGAGGAACAUCGGUGGCGAAGGCGGCUUACUGGAACAUAACUGACGCUGAGGAUCGAAAGCGUGGGUAGCAAACAGGAUUAGAUACCCUAGUAGUC
rnacentral:rRNA from 1 species